GACGAACGCUGGCGGCGUGCCUAAUACAUGCAAGUUGAGCGAUGAAGAUUGGUGCUUGCACCAAUUUGAAGAGCAGCGAACGGGUGAGUAACGCGUGGGGAAUCUGCCUUUGAGCGGGGGACAACAUUUGGAAACGAAUGCUAAUACCGCAUAACAACUUUAAACAUAAGUUUUAAGUUUGAAAGAUGCAAUUGCAUCACUCAAAGAUGAUCCCGCGUUGUGUUAGCUAGUUGGUGAGGUAAAGGCUCACCAAGGCGAUGAUACAUAGCCGACCUGAGAGGGUGAUCGGCCACAUUGGGACUGAGACACGGCCCAAACUCCUACGGGAGGCAGCAGUAGGGAAUCUUCGGCAAUGGACGAAAGUCUGACCGAGCAACGCCGCGUGAGUGAAGAAGGGUUUCGGAUCGUAAAACUCUGUUGGUAGAGAAGAACGUUGGUGAGAGUGGAAAGCUCAUCAAGUGACGGUAACUACCCAGAAAGGGACGGCUAACUACGUG
rnacentral:rRNA from 1 species